UCCUAGGUGGCUCAGUGGUAAAGAAUCUGCCUGCCAAGCAGGAAACCUGGGUUCGAUCCCGGGGUCAGGAA
rnacentral:tRNA from 1 species